CAGCCGCCGCGGGAAUACGAAGGUCCCGAGCGUUGUUCGGAAUCACUGGGCGUAAAGGGAGCGUAGGCGGCGUGGUAAGUCAGAUGUGAAAUCCCGGGGCUCAACCCCGGAACUGCAUCCGAUACUGCUGUGCUAGAGGAUUGGAGAGGUAGCUGGAAUUCUUGGUGUUGCAGUGAAAUGCGUGGAGAUCAAGAGGAACACUCGUGGCGAAAGCGAGCUACUGGACAAUAUCUGACGCUGAGGCUCGAAGGCCAGGGUAGCGAAAGGGAUUAGAUACCCCGGUAGUCCCUGUCUCUUAUAC
rnacentral:rRNA from 1 species